GUGGUGAGGUUUUGCACUCGCGAUGUGAUCACCUGUCUGGCGGCGGCUAAUUAGCCAAAACGCGAGACACGCGCCCGUGUAUGCGUGGCUGUCGGAGGUCUAAGGCGGAUAGCCCGAAAAGUGGUUGGGUUCGUCGGGACUGGAUGGCCGGCAGUCGGCGGCGGUGGAGGAGACCGGGUUUUCCGACUGCCUGGGGGUCUUGCUGGAGCGCCAUCAAGCUGCCCUCGCAUCCAAAUUCUCCUUCAAAAAGGCGCCUGAUCCUCUGAGUUUCACCGGUGAUUUUGAAAAACUCCUUCAAUGACGUUUGUGUUGCCUGCUUCACGCCGCCACAGUUCCCCAUCUUCUCCUCCAGCGUUUCCAAGCGCAGUGACACUCUGAGAAGGUCCUGCCUCAAAGCCUGCGGGGUCAUGAAUGCCUCGCCGUCUCCAGUUUGUUCUUCUGUUCCAGGCAGGCGUCCCUGCGUUGAAGCACGUCCUGGCUGCUCCUGAGCUCCUCCUCCAUCUCCUGCUGCUUGGCUCUCCUCUGCAGUUCCAACUCCUCGGCCUCCUCCAGCCAACAACACUCGUGCUGCUCUUUUGACCCCUGCUGAGGUUGAUUUCUGUACACGUUUAAAUCUACAAGACGGUCCACCUGCAAAGCAUAAACAGUCCUGGUCACCUAUGUUGACUUGGACACCAGCUGCAGUGCCAUGACAUCACCUUGUCAUAGAUGGAUGCCAACAUAGAAACGCCCAUUUUAACCCCAAAUAACAAGACAAUCUGAGAAAACGGCAAUUACGCAUUUUAGACCUAAAACAUGUCCUGGGCACACUGCAAAAACAGCCAUACAUGGGAAAAAAAGCCCAAAUUAAAAUUAGACAACUUUUCUUAUUUCAAGCACAACAUUCUGCCAAUGGAGCAAAAUUUCCUUGGCUAGAAUUCUUCUAACUACAAUAUUUUUGUGACUUUUAAGAAUAUAAUGAGUCCUAAAAUAAGCAAGUUGUUCUUAAUCCCAUAGCUAUAGCUUAUUACAAGGUAAGAAUUAAGCCAAAUGCGCUUAUAAGAUUCCUAAAUUGAGAUAAAAUGUGCUUUUACGAGGCCAGAUUUAAGCACAAUGUUUUUCAUAUUUUAGAUGUGAGCGUAUUAUUCUUUUCAACUUUCCAGUAGCAACCAUUCAUACCUGUGGACAAUUUUUGGAGUCUUCAGUUGGUCUAUGACGCAUGUUGUUGGACUGUGGAGGGAAGCCGUAGUACACAGAGAAUACCCACGGGGAGAGCGUGCGGGUUCCGCCUGAUUGUGGGGCCAACAUCGUAACCACUCGGCCACCGUGUAGCUAACAUUUCUUCUUGUCAGCGUGUGAGUUAUGUUGGUUACUUUGUCAGCUUUUCAACAAGCAUGAAGCAAAUGAUAUGAAUGGAAAAGAGUGCGAUUGUAUCUCAAAUUCACUUAGUUUAGAAAACCCUGUUGUCAUAAACACUAUCAGAAUUCUUUUUGGCAUGGUUUGCAUGUACAUUCGCUAGUUUGACAGAUUUUAUGAGUACAUUUAAUUUAAUAAAUCUUGGUGUGCAGCCAAGCAAAUCUUUAAGACAUGGUUGGGACUUUUUUUUUACUUUCUUGAAAUUUUGUUUUUGCAGUGUAGAGUUUACUCUUAAAUUUAAGUUUAGAAACCAGUUUUAUUCUUAAUUUAAGACAGAUAUAUAUUCAUCAGUUGUUGAAGAGUGAUCAAAAUACGUUUUUAGCUGGUUAGUACAAAAAAGAAGUCAUUUCUAUUGGAUACCUACACUUUUUUUCAAGUGAAAACUGCCAGACAAGAUUUUUUUUCUUUUUAGGGAAAAAAUAGGGCCUGUUCGAAUCUCCAUGUGUGGAGUUUGUAUGUUCUCCUCGUGCGUGUGUGGGUUUUUUCCGGGAACUCCGGUUUCCUCCCACAUUCCAAAAAAAACAAAGAUGCAUGUUAGGUUAAUUAGCGACUUAACUUGUCCACAGGUAUGAAUGUGAGAGUGAAUGGUUGUUUGUCAUUGGCUGGCGACCAAUCCAGGGUGUACCCGAAGUCAGCUGGGAUCGGCUCCAGCACACCAGUGACCUUAGUGAGAAUAUGCGGCAUAGAAGACGGAUGGAUGGAAAAAAUUAAGAAAUUGUUCCUUAAAAUGGGCUACAGGCAAUAAAUGAAUGAAUAAAUAAAUGAAACUAUGACAACUAUAAUAAUAAUGACAUAUUGUUAUUUUUGUCAUAUUAUA